CCCUCCGCUCCUCCAGGGGUUUGAGAUGAGUCAUGGUCCUGUGUCAGGGAGGUGUUUGCUUCGAAAAGCAUGCCUGGGGCACACUGGAGAGGCUCUGAGAUAGAAGGACACCAGAUCAAGGCCACCCUCAACUACAUGUAUUAGAACAACCGUGAACAGUCUUCAGUUGAUGCCAAUGAUAAGCAGCCAUUUUCAGAACUGAUAAAAGGACUUUAGCCAAGCAAGUGAAUCGAAGGAAAACCACUGGUUUGGUUGUCAGAUACACUGACAGAGCAGAUCUGUUGACCCUGAAGCUGCUCAUCACCACAGCCACCGACCGCUGUCAUGGCUGACAGGACACCACAGGCAUUCUGGACAUCCUGGCAGACUGGAUCUCAAUCAACAGCCCAGGCUGGCUUUGAAAUAAGAGCAACCCUUCUGCCUCGGUUUCUUGCGUGUUGGGAUUACAGGUGUGAGUCACCAUAAGGAAACAUUUAUACUGUUGAGAGGCAGGGAUGACAUGAGUGUAGAGGCCAGAGGACAAUUUUUGCACUGGGAUUAUAGGUGGGCACUUAUGUGGGUCCUAGGGACCCAGACUCUGGUCCUCACGCUCUCAUGGCAAGGCAGCAAAGGAUCUAACCCCUGAGCCAUCUUGCCUGCCCUCUUUACAUUUUUUUAAGACCACAGUUUCCUGCUUGUCUUUACCUAAUUUCCUCCGAUAAAUCAUGGCUCUCAAAGACCUAAUAGAAAACGCUGUUUGCCGCUUA